rnacentral:rRNA from 1 species
GGANUCCUUCCGGAUUNCUAGUGGCGGACGGGUGAGUAACGCGUAAGAAUCUAACUUCAGGACGGGGACAACAGUUGGAAACGACUGCUAAUACCCGAUGUGCCGAAAGGUGAAACCUAAUUGGCCUGAAGAAGAGCUUGCGUCUGAUUAGCUAGUUGGUGGGGUAAAGGCCUACCAAGGCGACGAUCAGUAGCUGGUCUGAGAGGAUGAGCAGCCACACUGGGACUGAGACACGGCCCAGACUCCUACGGGAGGCAGCAGUGGGGAAUUUUCCGCAAUGGGCGAAAGCCUGACGGAGCAACGCCGCGUGAGGGAGGAAGGUCUUUGGAUUGUAAACCUCUUUUCUCAAGGAAGAAGUUCUGACGGUACUUGAGGAAUCAGCCUCGGCUAACCCCGUGCCAGCAGCCGCGGUAAUACGGGGGAGGCAAGCGUUAUCCGGAAUUAUUGGGCGUAAAGCGUCCGCAGGUGGUCAGCCAAGUCUGCCGUCAAAUCAGGUUGCUUAACGACCUAAAGGCGGUGGAAACUGGCAGACUAGAGAGCAGUAGGGGUAGCAGGAAUUCCCAGUGUAGCGGUGAAAUGCGUAGAGAUUGGGAAGAACAUCGGUGGCGAAAGCGUGCUACUGGGCUGUAUCUGACACUCANGGACGAAAGCUAGGGGAGCGAAAGGGAUUAGAUACCCCUGUAGUCCUAGCCGUAAACGAUGGAUACUNNGCGUGGCUUGUAUCGACCCGANCCGUGCCGAANCUAACGCGUUAAGUAUCCCGCCUGGGGAGUACGCACGCAAGUGUGAAACUCAAAGGAAUUGACGGGGGCCCGCACAAGCGGUGGAGUAUGUGGUUUNAUUCGAUGCNACGC